rnacentral:rRNA from 1 species
GAGUGAACGCUGGCGGUAGGCCUAACACAUGCAAGUCGAACGGCAGCACAGUAAGAGCUUGCUCUUACGGGUGGCGAGUGGCGGACGGGUGCGGAAUACAUCGGAAUCUACUUUUUCGUGGGGGAUAACGUAGGGAAACUUACGCUAAUACCGCAUACGACCUACGGGUGAAAGCAGGGGAUCUUCGGACCUUGCGCGAUUGAAUGAGCCGAUGUCGGAUUAGCUAGUUGGCGGGGUAAAGGCCCACCAAGGCGAUGAUCCGUAGCUGGUCUGAGAGGAUGAUCAGCCACACUGGAACUGAGACACGGUCCAGACUCCUACGGGAGGCAGCAGUGGGGAAUAUUGGACAAUGGGCGCAAGCCUGAUCCAGCCAUACCGCGUGGGUGAAGAAGGCCUUCGGGUUGUAAAGCCCUUUUGUUGGGAAAGAAAAGCAGCAGGUUAAUACCCCGCUGUUCUGACGGUACCCAAAGAAUAAGCACCGGCUAACUUCGUG